UCAUGUUCAUGGUUAAAGCAAUUAGGGAACAAAAUAAGGAAAAACAAAUUAAAGGCAUGUACACCCUUCUCUUUCAAGCUGAAUGAGAAACCCUAAAAUUGCAAAAUUUGAAAUCUCAAACCCUAGUUGCCUCUUGAAUGCUCCCAAAGUUUGUCUUGAUCUUCAAUUCGAUGUUGGAACAAGUGAAAUCCCCCCUUCAAUUGAUGAAUUUUUAUCUCUCAAGGUCUACAAUUGAGGUAUAGGAAAUAAUUGAUUAAGUGUGUGUCUUGGAAUUGAGUCCAAAAAUCGUCCCCCUUCAAAAAGAAUUCAAAAUCGCCUAUAUAGUUGAUUCAGCAUGGCCGGAGUCCAGGCUGUAAUGAUUCAGCACGUCCGGAGUCCAAGCUGUGAUGAUUCAGCACGGCCGGAGUCCAGGCUGUGAUGAUUCAGCACAGCCGGAGUCUAGGCUGUUAUGAUUCAGCACGACCGGAGUCUAGGCUGUGCUGAAUCUGUGGAGUCUGUUGUGCUGACUCCUUCCAGGCCGUGCCCAAGCCUGUGCUGAUCCAUCACAGGCCGUGCUGGAGGCCGUGGUGGCUACGGAAGUCGUGCUGAAAUGGCACAAUUGGGGAUAGCCUCUUGGUAAUUCAGCACGGCCGGAGUCCAGGCCGUGCUCAACCCUCUGGGUGCUACUCCUAGCCCAAUCUGAUUGAUUUUGGUCCGUAAUCACACGUAUGUCCCUCGAUUACUGAUGAUGUCCUUCGAAAAUGACCUGAAAUGAGAAAGGAAACAAAAGACAGGUGAUUCUAGCAUAAAACAGGAUAAUCAUGCAUAAAAAAUGUAAACAAUCGGGCAUGAAAACAUGUGUAUUAUGAUGCUUUUCAAAUUACCCCAUACUUAAACUUUUGCUUGUCCUCAAGAAAUUUACAACUCACUCCUCAAACAUAUACCAAAUAACUCAAUCAAAUGCAUUGCAGGAGGUUAGCUCAAAACAAAUUUCAAAACUCCGUAAUGAUUUUUCCCAAAAUCCCCAAAUCACUAAAUCCUUAAGAGAGAGAACAAACUUAAUAAAGUUGCUAAAGUUAAAAUGAUAAACCAUCUAAAUUGAGAAAUUGAGAACCAUGCCUCACAAGAUGUCACUCAAAACACACAAGUGUAUAUAGGUGAAAG
rnacentral:lncRNA from 1 species